rnacentral:rRNA from 1 species
UACAGAGGUCUCGAGCGUUGUUCGGAUUCAUUGGGCGUAAAGGGUGCGUAGGUGGCGCCGUAAGUCGGGUGUGAAAUUUCGGAGCUUAACUCCGAAACUGCAUUCGAUACUGCGGUGCUUGAGGACUGGAGAGGAGACUGGAAUUCAUGGUGUAGCAGUGAAAUGCGUAGAGAUCAUGAGGAAGACCAGUGGCGAAGGCGGGUCUCUGGACAGUUUCUGACACUGAGGCACGAAGGCCAGGGGAGCAAACGGG